rnacentral:rRNA from 1 species
UACGUAGGGGGCAAGCGUUGUCCGGAAUCAUUGGGCGUAAAGAGCGUGUAGGCGGCUCGGUAAGUCCGCUGUAAAAGUCGAGGGCUCAACCUCGAGACGCCGGUGGAAACCGUAAGGCUAGAGUCCGGAAGAGGAGAGUGGAAUUCCUGGUGUAGCGGUGAAAUGCGCAGAUAUCAGGAGGAACACCCGUGGCGAAAGCGGCUCUCUGGGACGGUACUGACGCUGAGACGCGAAAGCGUGGGGAGCAAACAGG